CCUACGGGUGGCUGCAGUGGGGAAUAUUGCACAAUGGGGGAAACCCUGAUGCAGCGACGCCGCGUGAGUGAGGAAGUAUUUCGGUAUGUAAAGCUCUAUCAGCAGGGAAGAAAACGACGGUACCUGACUAAGAAGCCCCGGCUAACUACGUGCCAGCAGCCGCGGUAAUACGUAGGGGGCAAGCGUUAUCCGGAUUUACUGGGUGUAAAGGGAGCGUAGACGGCUAAUCAAGUCAGAAGUGAAAACCCAGGGCUCAACCUUGGGACUGCUUUUGAAACUGAGUAGCUAGAGUGCAGGAGAGGUAAGCGGAAUUCCUAGGGGAGCGGGGAAAUGCGGAGAUAUUAGGAGGAACACCAGUGGCGAAGGCGGCCUGCUGGACGACAACUGACGCUGAGGCGCGAAAGCGUGGGGAGCAAACAGGAUUAGAUACCCUUGUAGUC
rnacentral:rRNA from 1 species